CAGAGAUCAACACAGGUUUUCUAAACGUGUGCUCAUCACCAGGCUGCCUGCUCUGAAAAGAAGCAGGAAAUUCUGCCCAAGUGGAAGGUUUCUGGGGCUCUCCACAAUUGGAAGGCAAGGUCUUGCUGUUAGGUCUGGCCGCCCUGGAACUCACCAUGUAGACCAGCCUGUCCUCUAAGUGCCAAGAUAAAAGCUCCCAGCACGACUGACUCCGGAUCUGUGGGCUCAGAGCAGUAAUGUUGCAGAUGGAAAAAGAACUGAAGAGAGACGCACACACAUGCACCCCAGGACACAGGUUUGGUUCCCAGAACCUGGGGACCAGAUGGUGGCUACCCAUAAUUCCAGUUCCAAGGGAUCCAGCACCCUCUUCUGACUUCUGAGGUGCUGAGCACUGAACGCAUGGCCUCACACAUGGUGAGGGGGUCAGCUCUCCCAUCUUCCACCGAGCUUCGGUUUUUCAGCCAUCUCUCCAGCUCAUGUGAUGCUCGUUGGAAAAGCACACACAUCAAACAUUUGAAAAUAGACACCACUCAUCUUUGGCAACAACAAGGUUCAGAAGAUCCUCCGGAGGAUCUUCUGUCCUCAAGGAAUUGUUAGAGACUUCUACUUACAGAAAAAGCAAGGACAGCUGGUUAAGAUAAAAACAUACUCCUGCAGAGCAGGCGGGCUGAAGGAAAUAGAGAACAUAGAGGGGAAAGUACCCUACUGUAAGGCCCUGGACUCUUGCCUUGUGCCCACCUUAAUGGAGCUCAUCUUAAUAGGGCUCUGGGUGUAACUUGGGUCCUCACACUUAGUACUUUGCCAACUGAGACAUUCCCCCAACUCUGUGUUGUCUUUUCUAUACGUCCUCAAGCUGCUAUAGACAAAAGAGAAUUGAGACAUUUGUCUCUCCCUAAAUCUGGGCAUAACUAUUAAGACACUGUUUCCCUUUCCAGUGUCAGUCUACGUCUGUGGUAGUGGUGAGCAGUGGACUGAGUACCCAUUUACCAUAAUAUAGAGUAGAUUCAUUGACAAGUGCCACUGUGUACAUCAAUUUGUUUGUCCAUCACUACCACUCUACAGCUCAGCUGGACCCUGCCCAACUCAGCUGCCCAUAUAUUCUGCUCUGUGAAACACUUUAAUUCCAUUGCAGAGGCUAAGAACAGAAUAACAAUCAUGGAUGUGUACAAUGUAUCCAAGGCUUAGGGGUGUUGAGUCAUGCCCUCAACACCUGCUUUUCGACCGACCUACCCCUUACAGCCCCCAACAAUUCAGGUUUCAUUACUAUGCCAUAAAAGAAACAGGAGACACCAGAUCUCAUGAAAUGUGUAAAUAACUUUAAACUUUAUUGAGUAAAAAUUGCAAAAACACAACCAUAAUAUAAUUAAUAGAAAAGUUAAAUACAAACUACCACAUGUAAAAUAGGUUAUUGUAAAACUGGUGGUAUCAACCCUAAAUACUACACCCCGAACUUAUACAUUGGGAAUGUUAAUCUAAUGAAGAACAUCUCAAGUUCAUCUUAAUAUAGACCAAAAUUUUUUAAGAAAAAAAUUUUAAAUUAAAUAGAACUUUUCAAAUGAACAGUUCAAUCCAACCCUAGAUGGGGCCUGAGAUAAAAAAUGGCCAUUUGCCAUUGUAUUUUCUUCACAUCAACUUCCAAAUCUAAUGCAGAU
ensembl:lncRNA